rnacentral:lncRNA from 1 species
CAUGCUUUUUAUUUUGGGGGAAAGAGCAAGAAAAUAUCAGUACUUCAACAGGCUAGAGAAAGCCUCAUCUAAACACAAAAAGCACAGCAAAUUAUAGCCAAAGCUGAUACAUUCUUAAGUCAAAGUUGUAUGUACACAUGUGUGUAUAUAUACACACAACUUUUUAAAUUUAGAUGUAGCCAUUUGGAUUAUCUCUGUUUGCCUUAUUCUAGUUUUGGGUGAGUGAAGUAAUUAGACCAGAAUUAACAUUAAAAAAAACUUCCAACCAUUGCCACGGACUAGAUUAAGAACUUAUACACAUACACAAUUACAGCACAGUCUCUUGUGGCCCUUAAAUUACACUAAAAUAAGCCAGGUUUAGAGGGAAUGCACAAAAACUCCACCCUGAAAGUCUCUUGGCUUUUAUCACUGCAAUAUCCUAGCCUUUGCUAAAAACUAAGAGAGGCGCUACCCCAGAAUGUGAUCUCCAAUUCUUUCUGUAAACUGUACGCAUGCCAGACAUGAACCAUGCAAAAACCCUUUGAGAUUUAAGCCCUUAAUUAUUAGCUUGUGUCAAGAUUCAGGCACUGUGCUUUACAGCAAUCUUUAGAAUUAAAGCUAAGGAAUGAAAAUUGCAUUGGGAGCCGAUUUUACUUAAAAAAAGAGAAGGGUGAAGACUCAAGUAGCUGGCAAGUCUAAUUUUCUAAGCUGAUUAAGCAUUACAUCUACACACUAUGAAAUAAUAAAAACUUAACCGAGUGCUUUAGCAACUUCUGAAAACAAAAAUAAGUUAUACUUCAAAGAACAAGUUAGUAUAAAAAGUUUUAACAUAUGCAAAGUAUGUGCUCAAAAUACUUAUUUUGCAUUUUUAUAAAGAGCUGUAGUCUACCUUACAGAAACAAAGUUCACCCAGUAUAAAAUAUUGCAAUUUGUCCCAUUGUGUCAUAUGAGAGUUUUCCUUAUUCUUCAUAUGAUCGAGAACACUUGCACAAGAGUUCAAUGUUAUUCCAAGCCACACAGUGGCAGACAGACUAUGUUUGAAUCUGUGCUUUUACUAUGCAGUGCAGUAAAAGCUAAGCAAACCAUUUCAGAACAGAGUUUAGCAGGUCAAAGAGCUAUGUUGAUGCGAGAAAUCCAGACAACAGUAUAAAAGUUAAUGCCAAGUGGCAGUACCAAGAACAUGAAUUAGAUCAACAGAAAAGAACCCUGCUGAUAACAUGUACAACUUGUAAGCUAGAAAUAAGGUAAAGUAAAAAUUAGCUUAAGGAGAAAAAAAA